rnacentral:tRNA from 1 species
GCCGGUGUGGCUCAGUGGAUAGAGCGUCAGCCUACGGACUGAAGGGUCCUGGUUCGAUUCCAGUCAAGGGCA